GGGCUUGUAGAUCAGCCUGGUAGAUCGCUCCCUUCGCAAGGGAGAGGCCGGGGGUUCAAAUCCCCCCAAGUCCA
rnacentral:tRNA from 1 species